GAUGAACGCUGGCGGCGUGCCUAAUACAUGCAAGUCGAGCGAACGGACGAGAAGCUUGCUUCUCUGAUGUUAGCGGCGGACGGGUGAGUAACACGUGGAUAACCUACCUAUAAGACUGGGAUAACUUCGGGAAACCGGAGCUAAUACCGGAUAAUAUUUUGAACCGCAUGGUUCAAAAGUGAAAGACGGUCUUGCUGUCACUUAUAGAUGGAUCCGCGCUGCAUUAGCUAGUUGGUAAGGUAACGGCUUACCAAGGCAACGAUGCAUAGCCGACCUGAGAGGGUGAUCGGCCACACUGGAACUGAGACACGGUCCAGACUCCUACGGGAGGCAGCAGUAGGGAAUCUUCCGCAAUGGGCGAAAGCCUGACGGAGCAACGCCGCGUGAGUGAUGAAGGUCUUCGGAUUGUAAAACUCUGUUAUUAGGGAAGAACAUAUGUGUAAGUAACUGUGCACAUCUUGACGGUACCUAAUCAGAAAGCCACGGCUAACUACGUGCCAGCAGCCGCGGUAAUACGUAGGUGGCAAGCGUUAUCCGGAAUUAUUGGGCGUAAAGCGCGCGUAGGCGGUUUUUUAAGUCUGAUGUGAAAGCCCACGGCUCAACCGUGGAGGGUCAUUGGAAACUGGAAAACUUGAGUGCAGAAGAGGAAAGUGGAAUUCCAUGUGUAGCGGUGAAAUGCGCAGAGAUAUGGAGGAACACCAGUGGCGAAGGCGACUUUCUGGUCUGUAACUGACGCUGAUGUGCGAAAGCGUGGGGAUCAAACAGGAUUAGAUACCCUGGUAGUCCACGCCGUAAACGAUGAGUGCUAAGUGUUAGGGGGUUUCCGCCCCUUAGUGCUGCAGCUAACGCAUUAAGCACUCCGCCUGGGGAGUACGACCGCAAGGUUGAAACUCAAAGGAAUUGACGGGGACCCGCACAAGCGGUGGAGCAUGUGGUUUAAUUCGAAGCAACGCGAAGAACCUUACCAAAUCUUGACAUCCUUUGACAACUCUAGAGAUAGAGCUUUCCCCUUCGGGGGACAAAGUGACAGGUGGUGCAUGGUUGUCGUCAGCUCGUGUCGUGAGAUGUUGGGUUAAGUCCCGCAACGAGCGCAACCCUUAAGCUUAGUUGCCAUCAUUAAGUUGGGCACUCUAAGUUGACUGCCGGUGACAAACCGGAGGAAGGUGGGGAUGACGUCAAAUCAUCAUGCCCCUUAUGAUUUGGGCUACACACGUGCUACAAUGGACAAUACAAAGGGCAGCGAAACCGUGAGGUCAAGCAAAUCCCAUAAAGUUGUUCUCAGUUCGGAUUGUAGUCUGCAACUCGACUACAUGAAGCUGGAAUCGCUAGUAAUCGUAGAUCAGCAAUGCUGCGGUGAAUACGUUCCCGGGCCU
rnacentral:rRNA from 1 species